rnacentral:rRNA from 1 species
CUACGUGCCAGCAGCCGCGGUAAUACGGAGGAUGCGAGCGUUAUCCGGAUUUAUUGGGUUUAAAGGGUGCGUAGGCGGCCUGUUAAGUCAGCGGUGAAAUCUAGGAGCUUAACUCCUAAAUUGCCAUUGAUACUGGCGGGCUUGAGUGUAGAUGAGGUAGGCGGAAUGCGUGGUGUAGCGGUGGAAUGCAUAGAUAUCACGCAGAACUCCGAUUGCGAAGGCAGCUUACUAAGGUACAACUGACGCUGAAGCACGAAAGCGUGGGUAUCAAACAGGAUUAGAUACCCUGGUAGUCCACGCAGUAAACGAUGAUAACUGGGCGUAUGCGAUAUACAGUAUGCUCCUAAGCGAAAGCGUUAAGUUAUCCACCUGGGGAGUACGCUGGCAACGGUGAAACUCAAAGGAAUUGACGGGGGCCCGCACAAGCGGAGGAACAUGUGGUUUAAUUCGAUGAUACGCGAGGAACCUUACCCGGGAU